rfam:Ictidomys tridecemlineatus contig087637, whole genome shotgun sequence.
GGGGUUGUGGCUCAGCGGUAGAGCACCCGUCUAGCACGGGAGAGGCCCUGGGUUCGAUCCUCAGCACCA